CCAAUACAAGAUACAGCGCGUCAGAUGCAAAAGUCAGCUUGAAUGCAAGAUCCAAAUUGAUGUGGAGGGUUUUGUAAGUUCAUUUCGGCCAGAUAUCAUGGAGGCUGUGUAUGCUUGGGCAAAAGGAUCCAAGUUCUAUGAGAUCAUGGAAAUGACACCAGUUUUUGAGGGCAGCUUAAUCAGAGCAAUUAGGAGACUAGAGGAAGUUCUUCAGCAGCUUAUUCUAGCGGCAAAAUCCAUUGGAGAGACAGAGCUCGAGGCGAAAUUUGAAGAGUCAGUCUCAAAAAUCAAGAGAGACAUUGUGUUCGCAGGAUCUCUCUACUUGUAGUUUCAUUUCAUUCCAUCCCGGGGUUAACGAAUAUGAUCCUGAUCUACAAUUCAAAUGCGCGUAUUAUUGUAUUACUUAUGCACAGAAGAUGAUCAGGAUCAAGCACUUCAAAAGUCUGAAGUGAUCAAGUGGCGGAGUUAUUGCACAAGGGAAGACAAUUUUCAUAAUGAUGUUGCGAGCACGUAAAGUUCAAGGGAAGAGAAUAUUUCUCCCGUGUCUUGUAAAUUAAUCAUCGUGAGAAAUUUAUAUUGAAAA